rnacentral:rRNA from 1 species
AUUCCUACGGGAGGCAGCAGUGAGGAAUAUUGGUCAAUGGGCGCAAGCCUGAACCAGCCAUCCCGCGUGCAGGAAGACGGCCCUAUGGGUUGUAAACUGCUUUUCCAGGGAGAGAAACUUACGCACGUGUUGCGUGACUGACGGUACCCUGGGAAUAAGCAUCGGCUAACUCCGUGCCAGCAGCCGCGGUAAUACGGAGGAUGCAAGCGUUAUCCGGAUUCAUUGGGUUUAAAGGGUGCGUAGGCGGGCUAUUAGGUCAGUGGUGAAAUCCUGCAGCUUAACUGCAGAACUGCCGUUGAUACUGAUAGUCUUGAGUUUGGUUAAGGUAGGCGGAAUGUGUAAUGUAGCGGUGAAAUGCUUAGAUAUUACACAGAACACCAAUUGCGUAGGCAGCUUACUGAGCCGACACUGACGCUGAGGCACGAAAGCGUGGGGAUCAAACAGGAUUAGAUACCCUGGUAGUCCACGCCGUAAACGAUGAUUACUCGCUGUUGGCGAUACACUGUCAGCGGCUAAGCAAAAGCAAUAAGUAAUCCACCUGGGGAGUACGGCCGCAAGGUUGAAACUCAAAGGAAUUGACGGU